rnacentral:rRNA from 1 species
UACAGAGGUCCCAAGCGUUGUUCGGAUUCAUUGGGCGUAAAGGGUGCGUAGGUGGUAGACUAAGUCGGAUGUGAAAUCCCAGGGCUCAACCCUGGAACUGCAUUCGAUACUGGCCUGCUCGAGGACUGGAGAGGAGGUUGGAAUUUAUGGUGUAGCAGUGAAAUGCGUAGAUAUCAUAAGGAAGACCAGUGGCGAAGGCGGAUCUCUGGACAGUUCCUGACACUGAGGCACGAAGGCUAGGGGAGCAAACGGG